UAAUAGGAUGCGGGGGAGUCAAAUCCUACCAAAUUCUGAUAAACUCCGAAUGCGGCAUAAUAUGAACGGCAGUGAGGGCUUGGGUGCUAAGGUCCAAGUCCAAAAGGGAAAGAACCCAGAACUACAGCUAAGGUCUCUAAAUUUACACUAAGUUGAACUAAGGAAGUCUGACUGCAGUGACAGCCAGGAUGUUUGCUUGGAAGCAGCAAUCAUUUAAAGAGUGCGUAACAGCUCACUGGUCGAGCGGGGCGGGCAUCGAUAAUAAACGGGCAUCAAGUGUAGUACCGAAGCUUAGUCAAGGCGUAAGUCUUGGGUAGGAGAGCAUUCUAUUCGCGGUGAAUGUGUACUGUGAGGUAUGCUGGAGCGUAUAGAAAAGCAAAUGUAGGGAUAAGUAGCGAUAAUGUAUGUGAGAACCAUACACACCGAAAGACUCAGGAUUCCUCAGCUACGUCAAUCAACUGAGGGUUAGUCGGGACCUAAGGAUAAGGCGAAGGCCGAAGCCGAUGGCAAAUGGGUUAAUAUUCCCAUACUGGUGAUAGUGCGAUGCGGGGACGGAGUGAAGAGUUUUGUACGUCCUGACGGAAUAGGGCGUUGAGAGGAGGCUUAGGCUGAAUCGAACGAGAUGAAUUGCUUCCAAGAAAAGCCGCUAAGCUUCAGCUAUUUACCACCCGUACCGUAAACCGACACAGGUAGUCGAGGCGAGAAGCCUAAGGUGCUCGAGUGAAUCACAGCUAAGGAACUCGGCAUAUUAACCCUGUAACUUCGGGAGAAGGGGAGCCUACAGCAAUGUAGGCCGCAGAGAAAUGGCCCAGGCGACUGUUUAACAAAAACACAUGGCUUUGCGAAGUUUAAUGACGACGUAUAUGGCCUGACACCUGCCCGGUGCUGGAAGGUUAAGAGGGGAUGUCAUCGCAAGAGAAGCAUUGAAUUGAAGCCCCAGUAAACGGCGGCCGUAACAAUAACGGUCCUAAGGUAGCGAAAUUCCUUGUCGGGUAAGUUCCGACCUGCACGAAUGGUGUAACGAUUUGGGCACUGUCUCAACCAUGAGCUCGGUGAAAUUGUAGUAACGGUGAAGAUGCCGUUUACCCGCCACGGGACGGAAAGACCCCGUGAACCUUUACUAUAGCUUAACGUUGAAUUCGGGUAACUGAUGUGUAGGAUAGGUGGGAGGCUGUGAGCCGGUGUCGCUAGGCAUCGUGGAGCCAACGUUGAAAUACCACCCUUUGGUUAUUUGGAUUCUAACUUGCCUAAGGCGAGGACACCGUUUGGUUGGUAGUUUGACUGGGGUGGUCGCCUCCAAAAGUGUAUCGGAGGCUUCUAAAGGUGACCUCAGCACGCUUGGUAACCGUGCGUUGAGUGCAAUAGCAUAAGGUCGCUUGACAGUGAGACCUACAAGUCGAGCUGGAUGGAAACAUGGGUAUAGUGAUCCGGCGGUUCUGUAUGGAAGGGCCGUCGCUCAAAGGAUAAAAGGUACGCCGGGGAUAACAGGCUGAUCUCCCCCAAGAGCUCACAUCGACGGGGGGGUUUGGCACCUCGAUGUCGGCUCGUCUCAUCCUGGGGCUGUAGCCGGUCCCAAGGGUAUGGCUGUUCGCCAUUUAAAGAGGUACGUGAGCUGGGUUCAGAACGUCGUGAGACAGUUUGGUCCCUAUCUGCCGUGGGCGAAGGAUACUUGAGAGGAGCUGACCAUAGUACGAGAGGACCUGGUUGGACGUACCUCUGGUGAUUCAGUUGUCACGCCAGUGGCAUAGCUGAGUAGCCAUGUACGGAACGGAUAACCGCUGAAAGCAUCUAAGCGGGAAGCCGGCCAAGAGAUGAGUCAUCCCUUGUACCUUGAGUACACAUAAGGGUUGUUGGAGACCACAACGUUGAUAGGUGAGGUGUGGAAGCGUAGUGAUACGUUAAGCUAACUCAUACUAAUUGCCCGAGAGGCUUAACC
rnacentral:rRNA from 1 species